CUGCAUUCAUUUUCACUGCGGUCUCCAAACCCCAGGCAGAAGCAGAGAGCCUGCUCAAAGCUGCAGCCAUCUCUGAACUGUGAGCAUCUCCAGGGCAGUUUGCUACUCCUACAGGUUCAUGGAGACUGUGUCCAUUUUGUCACACAGUGCAAAAAAAAAGCAGGAAUGAUGAUUUGUGCUUUAGGCUUUUCCGUACCAUCUCAUACCACUGGGCUCCUGGAAACAGCAUAUGAGGAUGCAGACACAUGACUGGAACCAGAGCUCCCACUGAGUGACUGGACGAAGGGAAGUUCCCACAUGCCACUUGGCUGAAGCAUGGAAACCAGAUGUCCGUGCCCUGGAUCUCUGUAACCAAAGGGACGAGACAGUGAGGUCAGCAACCAAUUCCCACCAGGAUUCCAGAUGGAGUCAGCAUGUUUGAUCUGCAUAGCGCACCCAGGCUAAUGCUCCGUACCUGGAACAAAUCCCUUCCUUGCUCUCAGGAUAAGAAAGUAAUCUCAAGAGCUUCUUGAAUAAGCCCAUGCUGAGCAUAUUUCAGGCUGAGGCACACAGAAGAGCUCUUGCAGAUGUAACUGCACAAAACUGCACACACACGCUUGUUUGAAAUAACGUGUAAGUACUUUUGUAGAGGCAGUAACCUACUUAAGCACAUAGAUAUCGCCCAUCUUUGACUUUCUCACUGCUGUGUGCACCUGCAUUGCUUUUCCUGCAGACACCCACCACCACGGCUCCCAUUUCAAACACCUGGCCUCUCCCUGCCAUUGCUGCACAGACACCUGCCUCCUUUUGCACUCUGUCUUUCCCCUCAGCAUCCUGGAGCAACACAUGCAACCCCAGCACUAUGAACCACAAUCUCAAGUUGGAAGGGACCCACAAAGGUUAUCACAGCCAACUCUCGGCAUAUCACAAAGCAGUCGUGCAAUGGGAGCACCCGCUCCCUCAACCCUCCUAGAUUGCUUCUGCUCUGCUGGCAGCACCAAGCUCAAAGCCUCCUACAUCCGCACAGGGCUUUUGCAUCCUAACAACACAAAGCACCCCCUACAGCCAGCAGGACCCUCAGGCAAUGCCUGCACGUCCCACGUGCGCUGCCUCUUGCUUUUCUUUUGCAGUCAGCCCCAUCCCAGCUUCACGUGCGUGUCCGGUACCGACGGGCUCAGCGUCUCGUGCUGCCCCUUCAGCCUCGUGCCUGGAGGUGAGGGCUGAGCCCAGACCCUCCAUUGAGGCUGCAGGACGCUGCCGCUCCCCAGCCAGGGUGAGCAGCCCCGGGAGGCUCCGUUAAAAUCCUUCGCUUCGUUCUCCGUGCCCGGUGGGUGAUGCAGCCCCGCUAGAUGGCGGCAGCUCCUUGAUGAAGGUGCGCUUUGGGUGCGGGAUAAAGCGGAGAGGUGU